UACGUAGGGGGCGAGCGUUGUCCGGAAUCAUUGGGCGUAAAGCGCGUGUAGGCGGUCCGGUAAGUCCGCUGUGAAAGUCGAGGGCUCAACCCUCGAAUGCCGGUGGAUACUGUCGGGCUAGAGUACGGAAGAGGCGAGUGGAAUUCCUGGUGUAGCGGUGAAAUGCGCAGAUAUCAGGAGGAACACCAAUUGCGAAGGCAGCUCGCUGGGACGUUACUGACGCUGAGACGCGAAAGCGUGGGGAGCAAACAGG
rnacentral:rRNA from 1 species